rnacentral:rRNA from 1 species
AGAGUUUGAUCCUGGCUCAGAACGAACGUUAGCGGCGCGUUUUAUGCAUGCAAGUCGAGCGGUGCGGGGCUUCGGUCCCGCAUAGCGGCGGACUGGUGAGUAACACGUGGAUAAUCUGCCUUGCAGUCGGGAAUAUCCCAUGGAAACAUGGUGCAAUACCGGAUACGAACGUCGGCGCACAAGCGCUGGCGAGGAAAGGGGCCAAGGCCCUGCUGCGAGAUGAGUCCGCGUCCCAUUAGCUAGAUGGCGGGGUAAAGGCCCACCAUGGCUGUGAUGGGUAGCCGGCCUGAGAGGGUGAACGGCCACAUUGGGACUGAGAUACGGCCCAGACUUCUACGGGAGGCAGCAGCAAAGAAUCUUCCGCAAUGGACGAAAGUCUGACGGAGCGACGCCGCGUGAGCGAUGAAGGCCGCAAGGUUGUAAAGCUCUUUUCGGGGGGAAGAAUAAUGCCGGCAGGGAAUGGCCGGCGGAUGACAUCAACCCCGGAAUAAGGUCCGGCUAACUACGUGCCAGCAGCCGCGGUAACACGUAGGGACCUAACGUUGUUCGGAAUUAUUGGGCGUAAAGGGCGCGCAGGCGGCCGCUCAAGUCUGGUGUUAAAUGGUCGGGCUCAACCCGAUCAUGCGCUGGAAACUGGGUGGCUUGAGUUCAGGAGGGGAUGCCGGAAUUCCAGGUGUAGGGGUGAAAUCUGUAGAUAUCUGGAAGAACACCGAUGGCGAAGGCAGGCAUCUGGCCAUGAACUGACGCUGAGGCGCGAAGGUGCGGGGAGCAAACAGGUUUAGAUACCCUGGUAGUCCGCACAGUAAACGAUGUGCACCAGGAGUCGGGCAGCAGUGUCCGGUUCCGUAGCAAACGCAAUGAGUGCACCGCCUGGGGAGUAUGCUCGCAAGGGUGAAACUCAAAGGAAUUGACGGGGGCCCGCACAAGCGGUGGAGCAUGUGGUUUAAUUCGAUGGUACGCGAGAAACCUUACCGGGGCUUGACAUAUCCAGCGAUGGGGCCGCGAGGUCCCAGCCCUUCGGGGGCUGGAUACAGGUGCUGCAUGGCUGUCGUCAGCUCGUGCUGUGAAGUGUUGGGUUAAGUCCCGCAACGAGCGCAACCCCUGCCAUCUGUUACUAACAGGCAAUGCUGAGGACUCAGAUGGAACUGCCAGUGACAAACUGGAGGAAGGUGGGGACGACGUCAAGUCAUCAUGGCCCUUAUGUCCUGGGCCACACACGUGCUACAAUGGCCGGUACAGAGCGCAGCGAGGCCGCGAGGUCAAGCGAAUCGCAAAAAGCCGGUCUCAGUACGGACUGGAGUCUGCAACUCGACUCCACGAAGUUGGAAUCGCUAGUAAUCACGCAUCAGCAUGGCGUGGUGAAUACGUUCCCGGGCCUUGUACACACCGCCCGUCACACCAUCCGAGUCGGGGGUGCCCGAAAUCGCCAGUCUAACCGAAAGGGGGACGGUGCUGAAGGUACGCCUGGUAAGGGGGGUGAAGUCGUAACAAGGUAGCC